rnacentral:rRNA from 1 species
GACGAACGCUGGCGGCGUGCUUAACACAUGCAAGUCGAACGGAAAGGCCCCUUUGGGGGUACUCGAGUGGCGAACGGGUGAGUAACACGUGAGUAACCUGCCCUUGACUUCGGGAUAACUUCAGGAAACUGGGGCUAAUACCGGAUAGGAAUCCUUGCUGCAUGGUGGGGGUUGGAAAGCUUCGGCGGUUUUGGAUGGACUCGCGGCUUAUCAGCUUGUUGGUGGGGUAGUGGCUUACCAAGGCUUUGACGGGUAGCCGGCCUGAGAGGGCGACCGGCCACAUUGGGACUGAGAUACGGCCCAGACUCCUACGGGAGGCAGCAGUGGGGAAUAUUGCACAAUGGGCGGAAGCCUGAUGCAGCAACGCCGCGUGCGGGAUGACGGCCUUCGGGUCGUAAACCGCUUUCAGCAGGGGCGAAGCUUGUGGUGACGGUACCUGCAGAAGAAGCACCGGCUAACUACGUG